rnacentral:rRNA from 1 species
GAUGAACGCUGGCGGCGUGCCUAACACAUGCAAGUCGAGCGAAGCGGGGACGGGUGAGUAACACGUAGGUAACCUCCUCGAAGGCUGGGGAAACCUCCGGAAACCGGAGCCUAUCCGGCAACUUAUACAUGGUUCCGCGGGGUAUUAGCUAGUUGGUAAGGUAACGGCUUACCAAGGCAACGAUGCAUAGCCGACCUGAGAGGGUGAUCGGCCACACUGGAACUGAGACACGGUCCAGACUCCUACGGGAGGCAGCAGUAGGGAAUCUUCCGCAAUGGGCGAAAGCCUGACGGAGCAACGCCGCGUGAAUGAAGAAGGUCUUCGGAUCGUAAAACUCUGUUAGUAGGGAAGCGGUACCUGAUCAGAAAGCCACGGCUAACUCCGUGCCAGCAGCCGCGGUAAUAC